rnacentral:lncRNA from 1 species
GUAGGGAAACUGCAGAAUUUUGUGUCACGGGGACUCUUUCCAGCAGAUGGUGAAAUUAUACUGCAGUAGCCUCGGACACAAUACAGAGCACCAGAUGGACAUGAGGAUGUGUGAUUUUGCUCAUCGAUUCUGAAAAAGGGUACCUUACAAGUUAGAAAUUUGUAUUGUCUCUGCUUUUUGGAGAAAGGAAUCUUAACUUUUCUCAAGUAACCGAGGUUGCAGAGUGGGUCAAUAAGGAACGUGGGACAAGAACCCGCAUGCGCCUCUCUCCAAAAGUCUUCAUCCUCAACCCCUGCACCAGACUGUCUUCCACACAUGGGCUCUGAGCGGCCAGCACUGGAUCUGGAGAAGCCACCACCCUGUCCUGUCCUCCAGGCAGAACGGAAGUGUGCCUGACCCCAGCUGUAAGCACCCGCCCUCUGUGGCCCGGAAAGAAUCCAGUCGCAGGGCUUGGCCCUUCCCCAUCCCCUCCUCUGGGCAGCCCGCGUUGAGUCCCAUCUGGAACGUGGAGGAAGAAGGCCCUGUAGCAAACGCACAGCUAGACCCCCUCCCUCCCUGCCAGGCCUCCCUCGCCAACUCCAUGCCCAAUUUCAGCCCUGAGGGGCGAGAACAGCAGGUGCUCGGGCCGCCUUCGCCCUUGGUGUUCUGGGAGCCCAUUGUCUAAUUUUGCUCGGGCCUGGCCUGCUUCCUUUUUAGUCCUGCGCAUGUGGGCAGAGUACAAGCUAAUUGGCAGGGCUGUUCCAAAUCCUAAAGAACGCGCGCGCUGCCUGCUCGCCAGCGGGAGGGCCGUGUGCCCAGCUUGCGCCCUGACAUUUUCCGAGGCCUGGGCGAGGCCACCUGCCUGACGAAGGCUUACCAGGGAAAAUCAGGUCCUGACAGCCUGACAGGGACAACCGCCCAGAGGAUUCAUCUGCUCGCGAUGCCUGGUCAGCAAGGAGGAGACUCGACCUGGGACGAGGAAGAGGCCUUGAAGGGACAGAGGAGAGCGCAUCCUCCAUCCCCCGGCCAGGGAGAAGUCACGCGGACCCCCAGGUUGCUGGGCCGCGAUGGGGGGAAGAGGAGACCACCCCCAGCUCCGCAGCGAGCGCCCUCACUUCGGGGAGACAGAGGCGUCGAUCCCUCCUGCGGACGGCUGGGGGCGCUGCGCUUCAACCGAAGGCAGAGAUCCUGGACCGGGGCGAGGCAAGCCCUCCCGGAGGAGAGGAGCUCUGAAGGGGGAAAACAGCUCUGCAGAGUGUAGAGGAGCCGGACUUUGCAGCCAGGUACCUCUGUGCAAGUCUCAGCUGUGCCUCUGAAGUAGCUAGCCGUUGCCCAGCACUGUGCUAAGGUCUUUUCAUCACUGUGUAAUUGAAGGCUCACAGCCACCCUUUAAGGAAAACGAUCUUGUCGUCAUUAUUUUAUAAGAAAUGGAAUGGAAGCUCAGUGCCACCCCUAGCCCAUGGACACAUUCCCAGAGAGCGGCAGUGUGUCUGGCCUGGAACUUAAUGAAUUCUGUCGGACAGAAGUCCAUGCUCUUAACCAUUAGGCCUCCCAUACAAAGAUACUUUGUACGGGGACAUGAGACACAGCCUAAUAGCACAGAAACUCACAGAGGACGAGUUUCUUAGUUUUGUCAUCUCUGAAAUGGGAAUAAUAAUAUUACUCCCACCUUGCAAGGCUUUGGGAAAGAUUAGAGAGAAUGUAAAAAGGUCCAUGUGAGAGGUCCUCGUGGGUUAAUGUGUGGGGGGAGUCCCCAGUCCCUCCCCGGGCACUCAGAGCGAUGUGGGAAGACUGUGGAGCCCAUGCUUAUUGAUGCUGUUUCAUUUCAAUUAAACCUCCGUCAGAAACAUCGCAUGACAUCAAAAUGGAAGAGAUGUUGAGUCUGAACGGUGAGGUCAUAGAUUUUGUUUUUAUUUAUGUAUUUUCCAAAUAAAAAUAUGUAUCAUGUUUUCUCAUCAUAAUUGUAAUAUGUGAUGAUGUAUCAAUUAUGGAAAAUACAGAAACUGUAAAAGAGGAAAUGAGGAAAACCUUUGCUUCUCACUGUUACAGAUAACUACUGUUCAAAAUUAUAGAUAACAACUCUGGAGGCUGAGGUAGGAGGACUGCUUGAGCCCAAGAGUUCGAGGCUGCAGUGAACUAUGAUUGCACCAUUGCACUCCAGUCUGGGUGACCAGCAAGAUCCUGUCUCUAAAAAAAAUAAAAAUAAUAAAAAUUUUAAAAAUAUUUAAUUAAAAAAUUAUAAUGAAUAAUAAUUUAUUGUAUAUUUUAAAACAACUACAAGGAAAGAAUUAUAAUGUUCAUGACACAAAAAAAGAUAAAUGUUUGAGGUGACAGACAUCCCAAUUACCCUGACUUGAUCAUUACAUGUUGUAUACAUGUAUCAAAAUAUCACAUGUACCCCAAAAAUAUAUAUAACCAUGAUAUAUCAAUUAAAACAUACUAAAAAAGAGCGAUAACUACUCACUUUUCCUUUACUUAGAGUGUUUCAUUAAUACAUUUACUGUUUUACAGAAUUGGUAUCACAUUGUAGGUUACUAUACUACACUUUUAAAAUGUAAUAUUUCAUAAACAUUUUACCAUGACAUCAAAUAAUCUUAACACAUUUAAGAAUUAAUGGUUGCCUU